rnacentral:ncRNA from 2 species
AAAUCUAGACGAUGCGAUGGUUUCGCCCGAACAAGCGUAAGGGCGGAUGAAAUGGGAACACGGUGAGGCGUACCCAACAGGGACCAAUACCGUGGCUGCCCCCGCAACUGUAUGCGACGAGCAAAGCCCUUCAAGCCACUGGAGCGAUCCGGGAAGGCGGGCAGCGCAGAGACUCGCGAGCCAGGAAACCUGCCAUCCAGCGGUCCCAUCG